rfam:Bosea thiooxidans strain CGMCC 9174 V5_50, whole genome shotgun sequence.
CGCCGGCUUUCCACAGGCCGGCACCGAAGAGGCUUGUCCUUCAUUGCCGGCCGUGCGGGGUCUUCCCCAAUCGAACGGUGUUUCGGGUCCGGACGGUUCGUCCGCUGUAGCAGGCGUCUCCACAGCGCCUCGCGAACGCGACGACUC